AAGACCUUGCGCUUUUGGAGCGGCCGAUGCCUGAUUAGCUUGUUGGUAAGGUAAAAGCUUACCAAGGCUUCGAUCAGUAGCUGGUCUGAGAGGACGGCCAGCCACACUGGGACUGAGACACGGCCCAGACUCCUACGGGAGGCAGCAGUGGGGAAUUUUGGACAAUGGGGGCAACCCUGAUCCAGCCAUGCCGCGUGAGUGAAGAAGGCCUUCGGGUUGUAAAGCUCUUUCAGCCGGAACGAAACGGUUACGGAUAAUACCCGUGACUACUGACGGUACCGGAAGAAGAAGCACCGGCUAACUACGUGCCAGCAGCCGCGGUAAUACGUAGGGUGCAAGCGUUAAUCGGAACUACUGGGCGUAAAGCGUGCGCAGGUGGUUUUGUAAGUCAGAUGUGAAAGCCCCGGGCUCAACCUGGGAACU
rnacentral:rRNA from 1 species